rnacentral:tRNA from 1 species
GCGUCCGUAGCUCAGCGAAUAGAGCGGGUGAUUGCUACUCUCCAGGUCGUCAGUUUGAUUCUGACCGGGCGCGCCA